rnacentral:rRNA from 1 species
GAUUUCUGGUACGAUGUGCCUGGCCCGUCCUCGUCAGAGGCACGUGUGCCGGAGUGCGUCUGCCAUCUUUCUAGAGAGCAGCACUGCCCUUAACUGGUGUGGUGUUUGUCAUCUAGAUCUUUUACUUUGAAAAAAUUAGAGUGUUUAAAGCAGGCUUGCGCUAUGAAUACAUUAGCAUGGAAUAAUAAUUUAGGACUUUGUUUCUAUUUUGUUGGUUUCUAGAGGCGAAGUAAUGAUUGAUAGGGACAGUUGGGGGUGCUAGUAUUCAGCGGCCAGAGGUGAAAUUCUUGGAUUCGCUGAAGACUAACUUAUGCGAAAGCAUU